UGGGGAAUAUUGCACAAUGGGCGAAAGCCUGAUGCAGCAACGCCGCGUGAGUGAUGAAGGCCUUCGGGUUGUAAAGCUCUGUCUUUUGGGACGAUAAUGACGGUACCAAAGGAGGAAGCCACGGCUAACUACGUGCCAGCAGCCGCGGUAAUACGUGGGUGGCAAGCGUUGUCCGGAUUUACUGGGCGUAAAGGAUGCGUAGGCGGAUUUUUAAGUGAGAUGUGAAAUACCCGGGCUUAACUUGGGUGCUGCAUUUCAAACUGGGAAUCUAGAGUGCGGGAGAGGAGAAUGGAAUUCCUAGUGUAGCGGUGAAAUGCGUAGAGAUUAGGAAGAACACCAGUGGCGAAGGCGAUUCUCUGGACCGUAACUGACGCUGAGGCAUGAAAGCGUGGGUAGCAAACAGGAUUAGAUACCCUGGUAGUCCACGCCGUAAACGAUGAGUACUAGGUGUAGGAGGUAUCGACCCCUUCUGUGCCGCAGUUAACACAAUCAAGUACUCCGCCUGGGAAGUACGAUCGCAAGA
rnacentral:rRNA from 1 species